rnacentral:rRNA from 1 species
GACGAACGCUGGCGGCGUGCUUAACACAUGCAAGUCGAACGGAAAGGCCCUGCUUGCAGGGUACUCGAGUGGCGAACGGGUGAGUAACACGUGGGUGAUCUGCCCUGCACUUCGGGAUAAGCCUGGGAAACUGGGUCUAAUACCGGAUAGGAGCCAUUUUUAGUGUGAUGGUUGGAAAGUUUUUUCGGUGUAGGAUGAGCUCGCGGCCUAUCAGCUUGUUGGUGGGGUAAUGGCCUACCAAGGCGGCGACGGGUAGCCGGCCUGAGAGGGUGGACGGCCACAUUGGGACUGAGGGACGGCCCAGGCUCCUACGGGAGGCAGCAGGGGGGAAUAUUGCACAAUGGGCGCAAGCCUGAUGCAGCGACGCCGCGUGGGGGAUGACGGCCUUCGGGUUGUAAACUCCUUUCGCUAGGGACGAAGCUUUUUGUGACGGUACCUAGAUAAGAAGCACCGGCUAACUACGUG